ensembl:lncRNA
AAAAUAGGUUAUACUCCACAAACCACAGAGAACUGAGAUUGUUCAAAGACAUUCGGCUGCCAGCCUGGUCCUCUGCUGGCCAAAAAUGUAAUCAUACACAGCCUAUCCCAUCCACAAAUUGGUCCCACAAAUAAGAAACAUUAAUAACACGGGUAAAUAAGGAAUAUUAUAAUGAAUGAUUCGUACGCUUAUUUCCUCAGCCUUAUUGCAUUUUAUUCGGGAAGUUUUUCUGCAUCUAACCGUUAGAAAACAAUCACCACUGGGCUAGAGGGUGAUUAUAAGGUAAAACCAACUCUGAUGAGAGUUUACUUCCCAACAGCUUAUAAAAGGAAACACAUGGGCUUCUUAGACUCCAUACAGACAUUGCAGGGUAUCGCAAGUGGCGGCCCAAGGGCUGUGAUGGCAGGCAGAAAACAUAUCCUGUGUUUCCCUGACAUUUACUUUCUCAUCAUCAGGCCAUUUGAGUCAAGGAUUUAAGCUCUGCAGAUAUCACUAUCUUCAUCAAGAGGCAAAGAUGUUCUCAUCACACAAGGAAUUUGGGAAGUGAGGAAGAGGAGAGGUCAAAGAGGUCUUUUAGCUCCUCCUUAGCUGUGCUUGCAGGUUUUCUGUUGAUGUUUGUAGCUUCACCAUGAUUAUUUCCAUCGAUGCGCAGCUGGAUUCAUGAGAGAUACGGCCAUCUCGAGGGGCAGCGAGUGGUGCAAUGGCCGGCGGAUUAGAAGAACCACAGGGCAGUUCUCUCGUCCAGGCAGUGGCCCUGCAUUGAAAUAUAAAACCUGCACCUUCCACAGCCUUCCCCCUCCCCUGCUGUCCGGCUCCUGACUUCUCCCUCGCCCAGAAACAGCAAUCCGUCAUAAUUAAAUCAUUAACUGCUUCCCCCUCCCCCUGCCACACCGUUUGCGGCUCACUUUUGCAGGCUGGGGAGAUGGAAAGAAUGAAACCCGUGCAUUUUCUUCAUGUUUCCCUCCGAGUUUAAUUCUGCCUUUUGUGAAUUCAUGGUGUGCAUUGUUUAGAUUUAGAAAAAUGUUGCCAGUGCGAACUCCUCUGGUGUGCAUCACAAAAAAAUCAUUUUCAAUCAACAGCAUCAACAACUCAGACUCCAGGUUGGCAGAGGGGGCAAGUGUGGGGCCGCACCGCUAAGCAGCAGAACGUCUCCCCUCCUGGCAGGGAAAAGCGAGGCCCCUUGACCUGAGGUGCCAAUUACUAUUUUAACUGUCCUUCCCCACAGCCCCAGAGGCAGCUGCAAAGGAAAGCGCACACUGGGAGUCCCCACAGUGUCUUGCUGACUCCCUCAGGCUUCCAGGCAUUUGCCCAUCUGGUGAGGCCUCCAGAGCAGGGGGCCUAAUUAGGCGUCAUCUGGCCACCUGAGAAAGCUCGGUGGGCCUCCCCCAGCUUUCCCCUCCUCCAGGCAGGACUCCCCUCACCCAGCUGCGGAUCUCUGGAGCUUGUUUGGUUGAGCAGCUGCCCUGGCUAAUUAUUGGAUAGGAGGGUCCCCAGGUGGCUGCCUCAGACUGGAGGGGGUGGGCAGAGAGAGGGCUGAGGAACAUAAAGGACAGGGAGGGGAACAAUAUGAGAGGUGGUCAGGGAGGGGUCCAAGGGAGAAGAAACAGAGUGCAGAGUUGGAUGAGCAUUGCCAGUCAAAUCUCCUGAACUGGAAGAUGAGGAGGCGUUUCCUGACCUGCCGAGGAGAGUUGAUCCUAUCGCUGGGCCCAUCCAUGAGAGACCUUGCUGCCCCCCCGACUUCCCACCACACCAUAUAUUCAAUAUUGCUGCCCUUUGCUUCCCUUUUAGCACUCUCCUCCACACAGGCUUGCUCCUUCAGUCUAGGGACUAACCAACACUGCUUCAUUAGGGGAACAUGGCCUU